CAAGGUUGUUCUAACAAAUCUGAUACAGUCAUUAUAUAACAAGAACGUCACAAGUUUGAUGACACAAAGUUGUAACAAUAUUGUUAUAUCAUGACUGUAUCAAAUUUGUUGGAACAAUCUUG